AGAAGGGUCAAUCCUGAACCAGGAAGUACUGUUUCAAAUACUCUCAGACACAGAGGAAGAAACGGGGAGAGUCGGGGGACAGGUGCCAACUGUGAACAACGGCCUGAGCAGGCAGGCCACUGUUCCCUGGAGAAGGCUGGGGAGGAAUCCCACUGCCAUGGUCAAGUAGGUGCUGGGUCUUAAGCAGAGGAUGAUGACCGGCUGUCUCCUUCUCCCACCACAGUCAGAAUGAGAGGAAACAGGCUUCAACUGUGGCAGGAAGGAUUUAGGUUAGACGUAUGGGAGAACUUCCUGUGACCGAGUGUCUAUACAGUGGAUCCCAGCUGUCAAUCCAGGUUGAACUCUCCCCUGAACUGAUGAGAAUUGCACGUUGAUGCUUGCUAAUGAGUAACCUGCCUUGCCUGUGAUUAGCAAAGAAACCCCAGGCCAGAGAAUUCUCCUCGUGUCUAGACUUUCCCCAGGGAAGAAGUCCAGAGAGACCUGGAGGCACCAGGAGCUAGGCUCCCUGGGAGACCCAAGGAGUUUUCUGGACAAUGUUUAGACCACUGUGAGCCAAACUCACUUUGUUUCUCCUGCCCCCACCCCUCUGGGUGCCACUCUCAGAAAAUCAAGCCCAGUGGAGCUGUCCAGCCACACAAACUGCAGCAAAGGGGCAGGCUGGAUUUAAGAUCUGGGAGCUCAUAGAGAAUCUCCCAAGUGACAAUGUAGUCAGGGUGUUUAGCACCAGGGGUUUCAGUAACAGCCUCCACCAACUCUGUAUGUUUAGAAAUAGACAGGCAUCAGUCAGGCGCAGUGGCUCACGCCUGUAAUCCCAGCACUUUGGGAGGCCGAGGCAGAUGGAUCACCUGAAGUCAGGACUUCAAGACCAGCCUGGCCAACAUGGCGAAACCUCAUCUCUACUAAAAACACAAAAAUUAGCUGGGCGUGGUGGCAGGCGCCUGUAAUCCCAGCUACUCGGGAGGCUGAGGCAGGACAAUCGCUUGAACCCGGAAGGCAGAGGUUGCAGUGAGCCGAGAUCAAGCCAUUGCACUCUAACCUGGGUGACAAGAGCGAAACUCUGUCUCAAUAACAAUAAAAAUAAAAAUAAAAAAAUAAAUAGGCA
rnacentral:lncRNA from 10 species